rnacentral:rRNA from 1 species
UACGUAGGGGGCUAGCGUUGUCCGGAAUCAUUGGGCGUAAAGAGCGUGUAGGCGGUCCGGUAAGUCCGCUGUGAAAGUCGGGGGGCUCAACCCUCGAAUGCCGGUGGAUACUGUCGGGGCUAGAGUGCGGAAGAGGCGAGUGGAAUUCCUGGUGUAGCGGUGAAAUGCGCAGAUAUCAGGAGGAACACCUAUUGCGAAGGCAGCUCGCUGGGACGUUACUGACGCUGAGACGCGAAAGCGUGGGGAGCAAACAGG